rnacentral:rRNA from 1 species
GACGAACGCUGGCGGCGUGCUUAACACAUGCAAGUCGAGCGGUAAGGCCUCUUCGGGGGUACGCGCGCGGCGAACGGGCGAGUAACACGUGGGUGACCAGCCCUCAGUUCUGGGAUAAGUCUGGUAAACUGAGUCUGAUACCGGAUAUGACCUUUCUUCGCAUGGGGUUUGGUGGUAAGUUUUUUUGGGGGGGGAUGGGCCCGCGCCCUGUCUGCUUGUUGGUUGGUGGAUGGCCUACCAAGGCGGCGACUGGUGGCCGGCCUGCGAGGGCGACCGGCCUGGGAGGGAGUGAGGCACGAGCCAGCCACCUACGGGAGGAGGCGGGAGGGAUGAUUAAGGAAUGGGCGGAAGCCUGAGGAAGCGACGGCGCGUGAGGAAUGACUGCGUGCGGGUUGUAGAUCUCUUUCGACCCGGACGGAUUUGGACGGUAGGGGGAGAAGAAGCACCGGCUAACUACGUG